GUCAGCAUGGUUCAGUGGUUUGAGUGUUGGGCUACGUAUCUGGAGACCAAGGUUUGAAUCCGUGUUCUGCUA